UCCCCUCUCCCCACCGGAGUGUGGUUGGAGAGUCCCUUGCAUGCAUAGACAAUAAAACCUCUUGAUUUUUCAUGAGAGCUGGCUCCUUGGGGUCUUCAUCACAAUGGUGAUCUUACAUUUGGAGGCCCCAGUGAGAUCUGCCCCCCCCCUCGCUGAGGGCAGCCCCAACGGCCACAAAGUGUCUCUUGGGGUAAGUACAGCCAUUCCUUUUAGUUUCAUUUUUGUGAUCGAUCGUUCAUCUUAACUGCCCCAAAUCACUUCUGACCCGUACCUUGCGAUCCUAAUAUAGGGCAGUUUCUUUGGGGGAUGCCCCAAAAGGAUUCUCUUGGGAGUCCAUUUGUCCCUCAGACUCCCAGUUUUUUAGGAGGGGUCUCUUUGCCCUCUCAUUGGUGGUGGAUUCACCGAUCUCAUGUGAGUGUGACCGGCCAGAACGUGUGGUGUAUUUUGUCUUGUUGGUGUUCUCUGUUGUCUCAGUCUUUGUUCUCGUCUCUUUUGUCAUGGGACAAAGUGUCUCAACCCCUCUUUGUGUUACUCUAGACCGUUGGUCAAAAUAAGGGAACUAUAAUAACCUAAGGCCCCCUAACUAUCAUGCCAUGAAGCCUGUUCUGUAUAAGCCUGCCUGCUGCUUUCCCUCCUUUUCCGCCUUCAAAUCUAACUAGGUUAAGUUUUAACUUCCUAAAAGGCCAUAUAACAAAGGUCUGAGGUAAUAGCUCCUGACAACCCCCUUCUCUACUGGGUAGUCAGUCACAAAUUGUAUUAAUUGCAUUAGAUUGUAAUAGCUUCAUUUGUAUCAUAACAAUACCUGUAAGGAUUGAUAUGUUAAUCAAUGCUCUCCUGUGUAAAGAAUUGUAAAAUCUUACCUAAUUGAUAUGUUAACCAUUGUUGCCCUCUACAAAUAACAGUUGUAAAAGGUGCUAAAGUAAGGUAACCAAGGUUGUUAAUUGCCGUUUCAGCUUUGUAGUGCAUCACACCCCCAUCCCCUUCCUUACAUUGUGUGACCAGCAGCUGUUUGUGGAUUUACAAGAUAAAAGCCCUGACUUUUAGCUGUCAGGUGUGCAGUCUCCAAAUUGGCUCCUGGAGGCUGUGUCACCAGGCCUGGAAAUAAAGGCUUUGCUUCCCUAAUUUUAAUUUCUUGCUUCCUUGAAUUUCAUACCGGGAUCUGAGUUAUCACAUUUGGGGGCUCGGUCUGGGAUGAGAGCAAGACCACAGACUCAUUUCUGAACAUCUGAAAAAUAUAAUUUCAGUAAAAUGAUGGCCUGCUUCGUGACAUCCUGGGAGAAAAAGAAUAAGCAAUGUGCCAUCCAAAUGAAGCCGGCUCUCUGAUCCAGAGUGCCAAAACCAUGUUCUCCUUUUGUCCGACCCCGAUUGGACAUCCAGAGGUAAGGAGAUUUCCCAGUAUCACCAGUUGUUCUCUUUGCAACUCAGUGGGCCCCACAUGUUAGACAAAAAUUGCAAAGGUUUGAGAGGUUUCAGGGAAUGCCCCUCAGCCAAUUAAUAGAGAUAGCAUAAAAGGUCUUUUAGAACUGGAAAAUUUACAAAAAGCUAUGAACAAAAAAAUAACCAAGGUGUUAGAAUUCCUCUAUGAGAAAAAAUUCUUAAAAAACAGAUGAGAGUUUCUGGGGGCAUUUGGAUGCUGUAUGCUAAAUGUUACUGAAAAGCUCACCUCUAUAUGAUUCCUAUAAGGGAGAAACUCAAAACACUGAACUGCACUGAUAAAUGUGAACAGGCAUUCCAGCAGCUCAAGCGGGCCUUGACAGAGGCCCCAACCCUGGGGCUCCCUGAUGUUACCAAGGCGUUCACCUUGUUCAUAGACAAACUCAAGGGCAUUGCCAAAGAAGUCCAAACACAAGACAAGGGCCCUUGGAAGACGCCUAUAGCCUACCUCUCCAAAAGACUUGAUCCAGUGAUAGGAGUAUGGCCCCCUUGCCUAAGAAUACUAGCUACUGUGACAAUGUUACUUAAGGAGACGAAGAAACUCACUUUGGGCAAGUGAUUUCUGUGGUAACCUCUCACAGUUUAGAGACUCUUAUCAAAACCCCUCCUGGAAAAAAAAGGGGGGGGGGCUUUUGAAUGCUAGAAUUCUACACUGUCAAGCCCUGUUUCUAGACCCAGAGUCAAUGAUAUUCAAGACUUCUUCAGCUUUAAACCCAGGCACCCUUAUGCCUGAUGAUGACCUGGAGGAAAAAAAGACACCUCUCCAUGAGUGUGCUGACAUCCUUAAACUGAGCAGAACCUACGGGCUGAUCUUACCAACCAGCUUUUGGGACAACUAUUUUAUCGAUGAAAGCAGCUUCAUCCCGAAUGGCAAAUGAAUGGCCAGGGCUGCAGUGACCACCAAAAAGGAGGUACUCUGGGUUAAGCAGGUAGAACCUGGCACCUCUGCCACAAAGGCGGAGCUUGUUGCUUUGACUGAGAGGCUAAAACUAGCCAUGGGAAGGAGGGUAAACCUUUUUAACUGACAGUAGAUAUGCUUUUGCUACUGUACAUGUACAUGGAGCUGUCUAUCAGAGCAAGGUCUCUUAACCUCAGCUGGGACUAAGAUUAAAAAUGCUCCACAGAUUCUAGACUUGCUGACAGAUGUCUGGUUGCCUCAAGGAGAUGCUAUUACUCAUUAGAAGACUCCCAGACAGGAGAUGACACUGUCACCUUAGGUAACAGUUUGGCAGAUCAAGGCGCUCAAAAAAUAGCAACCACAUCAGAGGGGCCAAUUAAGAAAGUAACUGCUCUGAUGCUAGUCCCUCCAACCUUGUCAGAACCAGUCUACACAAAAAAAGGACCUACAGUUAGCAACUCAACUAGGAGUAAAGUCCCCCAUCCCUGGGGGCUGAUACCAGUUACCUGAUAAACAAGUACUGUUACUGGAGGCACUAGGGUGGGAGCUGUUACACUGGGCUCGCCAGACUACUCGUUUAGAGAAAACUAAACUUGUGGAAUUGUUCAGAACUUGGUUUUUUAUUCCAAAAUUCUGCAAACUGACCACCUCCUUGAGCUCCAGAUGCCCACAGUGAUUGUUAGUCAACUUAGCCAAGAGCUCUAUGCUGGAGACCACCCGACAUUAAAAAAUAGUUCCAGGAGAACAUUAAAAAGUAGACUUCAUGGCAUGGUAAAGCCUGAUUUACAGGGGUACUGCUAUCUCUUGGUAUUAAUAAACACUUUUACUGGCUGGGUGGAGGAAUUCCCUACUAAGUCUGAGUCAGCCUUAGUGGUAGUUAAAAGGCUAUUGUAUGAGAUCAUACCUUGAUUUGGCCUCCCACUAUCAAUGGGGACUGAUAAUGGCCUGGCUUUCAUAGCCUGGGUCACCCAAAAGUUAGCCCAGGCAUUAAAAAUUAAUUAAAACUCCAGUAUGCCUAUCAGCCACAAAGCUCAGGACAAGUAAAAUGUAUUUACCAAAGUCUCAAGGACAUUUUAGCUAAGCUAUCUUCAAAAACUGGUGAUAAUUGGGUGAGCCUUCUUCCCUUUGCACUAAGAGCUAGAUGUACCCCAUAUGUUUCUGGAAUUUCCCCCAUUGAAGCCAUGUUGGGAGGCCCUUGCCAUUGGUUCCAAGAUUGCCAGAAAAUAAACUAGCUAAAAUAACUAAUCAAGAUCUCAUUAAGUCCUGACAGACUCUCCAACCCAUGUUGACUUCAAUCCACCAGCUGUUUAGACUAGACAAAAAAACCUGGAUCUGCCUUCAGAGACACCUCUCAAGGUGCCAAUCAAGCCAGGGACUCCAGUCUUGGGGCAAUGUCACCACCGUGACUCUCUCAAACCCCGCUGGGAAGGACCUUUCACCAUGGUGCUCAGUACCCCCACUGCCAUCAAGGUAGCAGAAAAAACUGCAUAGAUUCACUACACUCACGUAAAGCCACUGGAAACAGUGGACAACGAAGGACUUACUCAGUAGACUACAUAGCAGACUGGUAACCCCUUAAAGUUAAAAUUGACUAAGAUUAUGCUGGUCAUGAACUUUUUUAGCUUGCUUGCUUUGAUUUUAAUAACAUUGAUGCCGAUGGCAUCAAUAACAUUGAUGCAUGGCGGUUUUGGUCCCCCUGUAAGCAAAGAACAAUUGUUAAGAUCUUUAUGUGGGAGCUUCUGUUAUUGUGGAGGGGGCUAUAUUACUAAAGGUAAAGACACCAACUGGGGGGAAUUAUACAUACAAUAGGAAACAAGUAUCGAGAUCCUUCCCACACAAAUGAGAAACUGUAUACAUACAGUCUUUCGGACAGAUUGUGAGUGCAAGUUAACAUUCCUUGUAGCUAUACCCUCAGGUACAGGGGGUUUGACUAAAAGGUGGAUGUAAAUGAUAAAGCCCCUGUGUGAUACCUAACAAAGGCAGUCAGUGAGGGCCAUGCCAUCAGAAUUGUUCUUAGUAUUCAAAAAUGCAUUCCUACUGCUAUGACUCUGUACAAGAAUGUAUAGCAUAGAUAGCAAAACUUACUUCACUGCUGAGCUUAUGAGGACAAAGGCUAAAAGGGUUAAAGGUGAUUGGUUGACAUAUUUGACAGUGAUAGGAAGUUCUAUGUAUGCCCAAGCCUCAUGUCUUAACAUGGUUGAUAAUCAGUGAGCUGGAGCAUGGUGGCCCUAUACAUGUGUCUGAUAGGGGCAGGCCACAAGAUAAGAUCCACAAAAAAAAAAAAAAAAAAACAAACUCUGGUGGUUGAGGAACGAGUAAAGCUGCUAAUAAAAAUAAGCUGCAUAAAUCGUGGGGAGUUGGUCUGGACGCUCAAACUUAUGAUAUUCUAGAGGUCACUCAUAAAGCCUUAAAUGCUUCCAACCCAAAUUUGGCUGAAGAAUUGCUGGUUAUGCAUGGCACAGGGCUCCCCCAUACCCCUUGCCAUCCCCAACAGUGUUUCUCUGGCUACACUGGAGAAACAAGAUUACUUAAAUUUUAGUGCUGGUCCCCCCUUUAGAGUACAACCAGUAGACUUCAAGGACUCUCUCUGUCUCCAAGGAGGUCUUCAUAACGAUACCUCCAACUUUGAUGUGGAGUUCAUCACAUUUACUAAUUUUAGUUCCAUAGUUAAGCAGACUACCUCCUUUAUACUGCCAAAGGACAAGUAUUUAUUUGUGGAGGAAAUAUGGCCUAUAAUUUCCUCCCAACUAACUGGAUAGGGAUAUGUGUAACAGCUGUCCUGUUGCCUGAUAUAGAGAUCCUACCCGGGGAUGAGCCUGUCCCCAUUCCUAGUUUAGAUUACAUCACAGGCCACUCAAAGAGGGCAAUUCAAUUUAUUCCUUAUUGAUAGGCUUAGAGAUAUCAGGAGCCUUAGGUCUGGGGGCAACAGUAGUAGGGGUUUUUGUCCAACCUUCCAACCAGAUUGUUAGUGAUAUACAGAAAUUAUCUAGUACCAUUCAGGUCAUUCAAGAACAUAUAGACUUGUCAGCUAAAGUAGUUGUCCAAAAUAAGAGGGGACUAGACCUACUCCUCCUAAAGGAGGGCAGCCUAUGUGCCACUCUAAAAGAAGAGUGCUGUUUUUAUGUUGACCAUUCAGGCAUAAUAAAAGAUGCCAUGUCCAAACUCAGAGAAAAUAUCAAAACUAGAGAAAAAAAAUACUCUUUGGGGACAUCCUUCUCUUCCCUAUGGCAAGGGCUAGUUCCUUAUGCUGUCCCCCUCCUAGGCCCUUUAGCUGCUUUGCUCUUAUUCCUUACCAUUGGCCCUUGCGUUUUAAACAAGAUUACACAUCUGGUGCGAUCCCAGGUCUCCCAGGUAAAGAUGAUGGUCUUAGGAUACCAAUAUGAUCCAAUACCUACUAAUAAUCUCUAGGAUUAGAGAUCCUCACAAGAAAAGGGGGAAAUGAAGUGUUAAAACAUCCAGAAAACCCCUCUUGCCUUGUCACAUGGUCAGAACAACUAGAUAUUUUGGCCUGAUAGGGAAGUUGUGGUCCAACAUCCUCAAAAAUAAGAGCAUUGUGAAAUAUCGACCAUGCAAGACAGGAUAUGAGUUUUCAAAACACCAAUGCCAUCUGCUUCUGUAACCAAUGCUUGCUUUGUGGUUUUUGGCUUUAUAUACUCUGCACUCCCUUACCCGGGCACUCUCCCCUCUCCCCACUGGAGUGCGGUCAGAGAGUCCCUCGCAUGCGCAGACAAUAAAACCGCUUGAUUUUUCAUGAGAGCUGGUUCCUUGGGGUCUUCUUCAUGAUGGUGAUCUUACAAAAUCAGCCAUGCUUACCCAUAUGGCUACUUCCUCUUUUUUUCCCUGAAUACAACUUCCUCAUUCCUUUUCCAGAGGCCCAAAGAAAAUUCCUAUCAGCUCCUUGCAUGACAUCAAUGUUAGUGCCAGGAACCACAUAGAGCAAAAUUUCACAUAUUCUCCAUAAUCCCAUAAUCAGUCAGAAAAAAAGGCAAACCCUUGGUGGCUGUAGGCUCCCCUCCACAUUCUUUAAAUGGAAAGGACACUUUUACUUUUUCUUAUAUUCUGCUUCUCUAUUGGGCCACAAAAUCCUAACUGAUAAGAUUAUAUAGUACAUCCAAAAGAUGAGAAGUAUAAAACAAAAGAGGCCUUUAUUCUGAGAAUGCGAAGAGAGAAAACAAAAACCCCCUAACCAUUGGAGUCAGGCUUUCUCUCUCAUGGACUCAUGGCAUGGGGGCAUAUAAGCAACCUAGGUUUGGGGUGGAACCUGAGGGGGCAUUAGGGAUGCACACGUAGUCCAUUGGUCUUUGUUUGGCACCAUAGGUAAAUUCCUAGGUGCAGGGAAGUUGGAGUCACAGGUAAUUUCCUAGGGGUGGGGGAGAUAGGAGCUCCUUGGUUCUGCCUCACUGGCUACAGUGUCCUGUCUCAGCCAAAACUCUUUCAGUAACAGUACUGAUUCUUGUGUAUCUAUGAAGCUAAUUUAUCUCUUCAAUAAUUCUCAUGUUAAAUGCCACGAGGACCCAAUGGAAAUUAAUGCAGUGGGCUGUUGCUUCACUCUAUCAGUGUCAAUGCAGGAAGUUUAAUCCUAAGAUAAAAAUAAAUCUUCAUAUAAAUUUCAAAACACAAAUAUGCAUCAAAAUACAGCCAACGUCCUAGAGACCUACAGACAGCUUUCAAUAAUAUAAUAGAUGCUUUCUAGAAACUGACAAAAUACACAGUUUUUCUAAUGAAAAAUUGUGUAGAAACUUUUCUGAACAAUUAUAGGUGAAUCUUCUCUUUAAUAAGAUAUAACCUACUGCAAUGGCAAUGUCUAGUUCUUGCUAAAUAAUACACUCAAACCAAUUAUUUAACAUUUAUAAUGACUGAUGUAUACAAUUUUAGAUAUUGCCAGGACUACAAUCACUGUGAUUUGUAUUAAUCACUUAAAACUGCAGGAGAAGGAGCAAAUUUCAGACAUUAUAUAGUAUAGUCAUGUUAAUUUGGUUCAGGUUAAUGGUAUAGGGUAAUGAAACUCCUUACCUACUAUAUGUCCAGUAUGCGUUUGUGUUCUCUAAAUUUAAAGAAUGGAUUUUAGGAAUGAUGGAGUUUAAGAAUGGAACAAAUUUACUGGGAGAAGGAAAGCUUCUGAGAGACAGAAGGUGUCCUGAGUGGGUUGCCAAUGACUCUGUCUUUUUGAGGAGCUUGUACAGAGUUAAACCAUGAGGUCAGAUGGGUCACAGUAGGGAAAAAAUAGGAAUUUUGAACAUUAGCAUAAGGCGGGAUAAGACUGUGGUCAACCAAUAAGGUUAAUUUCACAGGUAAAAUUGAUUAAAUUGGGAGCAAAUGGGAGAGCAAGUCACAUACUAAUUGGGCCUGUUUAAGAGCAGGGACACUUCCUGUAGGGGGUUGAGAUGGGGACUCUUGAGUUCCUCUGGGUGCUCAGAGAACUAUUUGAAGUGUUGGUUCUUAGCACUUGGUUGUAUUUCCUUUCCUGUUCUUUUGAGAUUUGGCCCACAGCAGGAGGUUAUUGUCUCUUCAAAUGCUAGAAGCCAUCUGAACUUAUUUUCUGGCUCCAUUGAGGGCCCAGCCCUGUUGUCACAGCCAGCUGAGUUAGUUAGAAAUAUACAGCCAGGGAGACAGGAUCAGGUCCUAGAAGUGGCCAGCACAGCAGCCCAGACACCUUGCAACUAUGGGGGAGCAGAUACCUCUUGUUAUAGGCCAGGCCUCAAGACAAAAUAUGUCUUUAAAAAUGCAGAUCAAGCAAGUAGCUUCAUGCAAAGGUUUUGGAACAUUUAGCAGAUGUUUGAUAUUCAAAUGGAAAUAGGACAAGUAUAAUCUUGCCCUGUUUGAUGUCAAAUGCACAAAGUUUGUUGGCUCACAACAUUAAGGAAUGAAGUCACAAACCAAAAGAAGUUCAAAAAGCUUUCUGGGAAAAAAGAGAGAAGAAUAGCCCUGGAUUUUCAGGAGUGCUCUUCAGUGUUUAAGUCACAGACCUAUUGUUAGGGGUCAUUUAUGCAACAAAGUCACAAUGUGACUAGAGUGUGAGUCUCAAACUACAAUCAACCUAUAAGCUUGAGUGUGAGUCCCAAACUACAAUCAACCUAUAAGCUUGUAGUUAGUGGCUCAACUAAUAUUAUUUAACCUGGGAAGAAGUCACCCAGAAAAAGGAUGUUGAAAGAGCAAAGGCAUUUUGUGGGAAAAAUAGUCCAGUUGUUCUGGUCAUUGAGUAUGGUAAUUGAUGCCUAUUUGGACUUCAUGGAGGAAGUAGUGAUAACUGUAGUACAUUUCAAGCUAUUGUUUUCUCUUCAAGAGGCAUGUAGACAUGGUCACUGCAUCUUCACUUUUGUGUCUGGCUUUCUUCAGCUGAGCCUGUAGAGGGAUUGUUGUGUUAGUAUUUUAUGUUGACACCUUUCAGGUUUCAAUUCCUCUCUGACUGUAUAUCAAUUUUUCUCUACGUUGACCUCCUGUAGUAAAAUCACAAUACCAUUUGACUGGAUAAUGUGAUGCUUAUACAUUUAAUAAAAUAUUAUUCAAUAGAGGUCAGGGGUUUAGCUCAGCAUGCAGAAGCACCUGCCUGGGAAGUGCUAAGUUGUUAGUUUGAUCCCCCGUACUUAAAAAAAACAGUGUUUUAAACUGCAGAGAAAGAAAAUAAUUUCAUUUGUGAAGAUGUAGAUUAAUAAGAGUUUUAAUUAAAUAUGUCAAUGGUAAAUUAAACAUUGGUAAUAGUCAUAUAUAGAAGCUGAAAAUGUUGGGCUGGGUUUUGAGCUUAGUGGUCAAAGAAAUCUUUGAAAGCCUUUGCAUGAAGCUACGUGCUUGCUCUGAGUUUAAGAUUUCAAUGAGUUUUUGGACCUCUUCAUUCGAGCAAAUUGCAGAUUUAUUGGAGGAAGGAGUUCACUGUUGUGCUAUAGCACAAUAGGUACCAUUCCUAACUCUGUAUUUAUCACAGCUGCCAGGAAGCCACUACAUGGCCAGCUGUCUGCUGCAACAUCAUUCCAUAAUUGCCAAUUUAGAUCAGCUUUCAUUCAGCUCUAUUAUUUUUGUUUUCCUUUAAUAGUCUUUCUCUUUCCCUUGGUUUUUUUACUUUUUUCAUUUUUAUUUUUUUGUUUUUAAAGAUGUAGUCUCACUUUGUAGUUCUGGCUGGCCUUUCACUAACUUUGUAGGUUAGACUGUCCUUGAAUACAUGGCCAUUCUCCUGUUUCAGCCUCUUUAAUGCUGUGGAAAAGAGGUGGGCAUCAUAACACAUGGGGUUUGUCAUUUUCUUCCCUCCUUUUCAGCAUUACUCUUUCAUUUCAGGGGCACUGACAUUUAAUCCAGAGGUUUGCUUCUGUCAGUAAUCUUUCUGCAUGUUGAAGUGAGUUUGUGAACAACAGUACAGGAAUCCAAGCAUCCAGAGAAUAAAUUUGGAAUUUAAAUAUUUGAGCUCAAAACCACUUUUAUACAGACCCCCUUCCCCAUUUCAGAAUCUAAACAAUUGACUCUGAACUGGAAAGUUUGGCAUUUUUAAAAGAGAGAAUCACAGAAGACAUCCUGUUGGAAACAAUUUAGCUAGAAUCUUAAAUUAAUUUUUGGUUGACACCUGUAUCCUGCUUUUUUUCUUAGCAUGUUACUUUUUUUUACUUGGGUACAGCUCCUUUUGCUUUUCUCAUGGAACUUAUAUCGUGAGUGAUUUUUCAUUUUCUUGGAUCUAAUACAGGGCACUAGAUAAAAGCAGGGUGCAAGAUGGCAUCUGUUAUGCCAGGCUACAAUACAGCUGAGCUACAGUGUCAGGCCUCAAUAUUUUCUAGGGUCAAAUGCACAUAAUGUUUGAAUAUUUCACUGUUUAUGAUGUUCAUCCUUAUAGUAAAGCAUGAUCUAUAGUCAGGACAAGUGAAGCUCCCCAGGACUCUCAUUGCUUUUCACUGGUCUUUUUCUCAUCAUCCUUAAAUACAAUACUCUCUGAAUUCUUAAUACUAAUGCUCACAUUUCAUUCAUAUUCCUAUCUGUGACAUUUCCUGUUUCUGCAGUAGUGUAUCCUGGCAUCCAGGGCUCAUAAGAGAUAGAAACGCAUCUUCUGAUUCCCUACACUCCAAGGAUGUUUUGUGUUAUAUUGGACACUUUUCCUUCAAGGGAAUGGCAGUUAAUGAAUACAUGUGUAUCUCAUGACUGUUUAUUCAGGUUUCAAAUAACACCAGGAAUUCUUUCAAGUUUUAUGUGCACACCUGUAAUCCCAGAACUUGGGAGGCUGAAGUAGGAUAAUCAGUGUGAAUUGACUGGACUAAGACGUGAGUCCGCAGUCAACCUGAACUGCAUGGGGAAAACAUGUCUCAAAGAAACAGAAAAAAUAUCCUAUUAUUGUGGAUAUCCUUGGGAAGAAGAACUCAAAAGUUUGAAACUCUUAAGAUCAUACCUAUUAUGUUUCAUGUGGUGAGUAUAAGAGACCAGUAAAACUACCUUCAAGGAUAUGGAGAAAACUCAAAAAAAUCUUAUUGCAAACUGUCAUAUAGAUGUAAUGCAUUGCCCACCAAAGUACCACUAGGAUAGCUCACAAACGUAGAGAGAACAUUUCUAAAAUUCAUCUGGAAACAGAAAUGCUCUAGAUCAUCAAAGACAUUGCUGGGCAAGAAAGGCAAGUCAGGAAGUAUCACAAUUCCUGACUUGCUAUAAUACUAGAAAGCUACUAUUAGAAAAUCAGCAUAGUUAUGGCAGAAAAACAGACCUGAGAAUGAACCAAAAAGACUAGAAGAUGCAAAUAGAACUCCAAACACACUCUGCUACUUUGUGUUUGACAAAGGAGCCAAACAUGUUCACUGGAAGAGAGAUAGCCUCUUCAAUAAAUGGUGCUGAAGAAAAUGACUUUUCUCAUACUGAAGAGUUAAACUGGAGACAUGUCUAUCACUAUGAAAAAAACAAAAGUCAAGCUAGAUUAGAUCUAAAUAUUAAAACAGAAACACUAAUGAGGCUUCAUGAACAAAAUACAAAUUUUAAAGAAUCAGCCACUGGGACCCCAUCUUAUUAAAAAUAUUUCUACAUGAAAAGAUAUAACUAACAGAGUGAAAAGACAAUGCACAGAAUGGGCAAGGAAUAUCUUUCUUUUUAUGAUAAUCUCUUCAAUAUCUUUUUCCAAAGUACUAUAAUUUUCAAUAUGUAAGUCCUUUACUUUCUUCAUUAGGUUCUUUCCAUGUAUUUUGUUUUCUGGGAGACUAUUGUAAAGGCUGUGGUUUCUGUAAUUUCUCUCUUGGUGAGUUUGUUGAUUGUGUACAGGAAUGAUAUUGAUUUUUGAUUGUCAACUACAUCCCCUGCUACAUUAUUGAAUUUGGAUAUUAAUUCUAGGACUGUUUUGGUGGAGUCUUUGGUAUCUUCUAUUUACAAUAUCAUAUCAUCUGUGAAUAAUGAUAGUUUAAUUACUUUCUAUUAUAUAUUUAUUCUUAUUUCUCUCUUUUGUCUAAUUGGACUGCCUAAUGUUUACAGAGCUAUAUUGAAUGGGAAUGGUCAUAGUAGUGAUCCAUGUCCUUUUCAUAACUGUAAAAUCAAAUUUGUCAGUUAUUCCCUAUUUAGUAUGAUGCUGGAAUUUUUUUCUCAUUGUUUGAUUUUUUUGUCUUUUUUUAAAAUCAGUACUGAUGACCAAACUCAUGACCACACAAUUGCAAGGCAGGUGCUUAUGCUAGUGAGCUAAAUCUCCAGCCAUGUCAUUGUUUGAUUUUAUCAGCUUGAGGUAAAGGUCAUCUGUCAUUAUUUACUGUAGGCUUUUUAUCACAAAUCAGUGCUUGCUUUUAUAAGAAUCUUAUUGUGCAUUUAUUGAGAUGAUCACCAUGUGACUUUUGUUUUUGACUGUGUUGAUAUGACAUUUAAAUUUGUUGAUUUGCAUGUACUGAAACAUCCCUGACUUCUUAGGAUGAAUCCAAGUUGAUCAGGUUUUAAAAUCUUCUUGAUGAUUUGCUACAUUCACUUUGCUAGUAUAUUGUUAAGGAUUUUUGCAUCUUGUUCAUUAGGAAAACUGUUCUAUAGUUUAUUUUUUCUGGUUGGGUCUUUCUCUGGUGUUAGUAUCAGGGUAAUACUUGCUUCCAGGAAUGAGUUAGGGAGAACAGCUUCUCUUUCAAUGUCAUUAAACAGCAGUGGCCUUAAAUUUUUUUCUACAUUUAUUGUAGAAUUCAGCAGUAAAUCCAUCAGGACCUAGACUUUUUUAUGUUGGUCAUUUGCUUUUCUGUUGUCAUUGUUUUUCUUUUUUUUAAUUUUCUCAUGAGAUAGGCUCUCAUUAUUCAGUUCAGGUUGGCCUUGAGCUCACUUUGUAGCGUUGUUUAUUCUUGAACUCACAACAAUCCUUGUACCUCAGCCUACCAAUUUCUGCACCACCAUGCCCACCAUCUGAUAAAUUUUUAAUUAGAUCUUCAUUCUCAUUGAUAAUCUGAUAAUAUAUUUUCUAGAAUUUUUAUAUCUUAUUGGAUCAGAUUUGGCAUUUCAUAUGUUUCUAGGAAUCAGUGCAUUUCUAUAUUUUCUAACCUAUGAAAGUAUAAGCUUUGCAAGUAGAUAUUGAUGAUCUUCUGAAUUUUCACAGCAUCUGUAAUUAUUUUAUUCUUCUGAUUCCUCAGUGCAUGGUUUUCAGUCUUUAUUUUUUCUUUUAUGAUAUUGUUGUCCAAGGGUUUAUCCAUUUUGUUUAUUCUUUCAGUGAACCACCUCUUUGAUUCAUUAAUUAUUUGUAUUGUUUUCUUGUUCUGCAUUGCAUGAAUUUCUUGUCUGGUCUUAUAAUUUCCUCCCUUGUAUGGGAUUUGUGUUUGUCUUGCCAUUCAUCUGGAAGAAUGAGAUACAACACUGUGUUCUUUCUAUUCCCUGAUGUGAAAUUUGACUACUAUAAAUUUAACUAUUUGGAUUUCUUUCAUUGAGUCCCAUAAGAUACAGGAUUUUGCAUCUAUGUUCUUGUUAGGUUGUAGAUAUUUUUAAGUUUCUUCCUUUAUUUAAUCUGCCACCCGUUGGAUGUCUAGAAGAGUAAUAUUUAAUUUCCAUAAAGAUAUGCAGUUUUUGGAACUUCUUUUACCAUCAUUUCCCAAUUUAAAUACAUGCUUAAGAAUACUAGCCUUAGGCUGCAAAGCCAAUCAAGUAAUACAAAGAUUAAGUUUUAUUAUAGCUCCAUUGCUAUCAACUCAGUAUGUGCUCUAAACCAGUCAGACUGUUGGUGGUGGGAGGAGGUGACUGUGGUGCUCAUCUCCCUGCCAAUGCAAUGGCUAGCUCACAGGAAGUGCAAGUUACUGUCUUGUUUUUCUUCAGAGAACCAGAAUAGCUUCCAGAGAAUCACAACAUGGGCACAUUGGCUAGGUUCCCCUAUCAUUCCCCAUAUGACAUCCACCAGCUCACAGCAAGGCCAUAUUAGCUUUCUAUUUCUCUUCUCAGGCAUGGGAUGGCUCUGGAUUUUUUAUUUUUUCUUCAGGAUGACUUGGUGGAGACAUAUCAUAAAACCUGCAUAUCUGUGUGUGUGUCCUACAGAAAAUAAUUCAUAUGUAGGUCAUUGAUUGGAGUGGAAAUAAUUGUCUUGAGGAAAGUUGUGUCAUGUAAGAGGAUUUGGCAUUGGUGAACCAAAAAAAAUACAGUGGAAUAUAACAGCUUUUGCAUUCAUGAAUUGUCUUAAACAGGUUUGAUACUUUUUCUUUUUCCUCUCAUCAUAAAACAAUACCAGAUUUCAGUGCUGAGUCUUAAAACAGAUACAUUUUAUGUUUCAUGUUGAAGUCUUUUCCUAGAAAACAAGAUGCCAAAAAGGUGUACCAAAAAGACUCUAAGAAAUGAGAAACACAGCAUGGUCUUCAGGGCUGCUGGAGGAGAGAGAUCCUUGGCAGAGCUCAUCACUCUUCUAGCCAGCUGGCCAACCUCAUGCAGGCAGGAGUUGAGUGGAAAAUGGAGGAAACCUGAACAGGAUCUUGGGAGAGGUUCAAGACCCACUCCAAGCAACAGACGAUGGUAACUGCAGAGAACUAUCCCACAGAAAGUGUCUAGGUGGCCUCAAUGUGGCCUAUCUUGCCACUUGAGGCAUCUCUUGAUUCUCAGUUCAAUCAUGCCUGUGCCACAUCACAGCCCUGCAUGAGUAUUCAGCUUCAAUGGCUCCAACAUGUCCCCCCUUCUUGUUUGGUUGAUACACAGAUGGGUGUCCUGCUGAAGAUGUAGAAGUUGUGUUAGAGCUCCGACCACUGCACAGUCCAUCCAUCCAUAAUGGUUGUCAGUUACCAGCAUAGAUAGCAAUUGUUAGAUGAUGUUAGUGAUAUGAGAUUCACCUACAAACAAUAUUUUAGACAAUAUUUUAGAAUAUUUUAGAAUUGCACUGUACCUCCCAAGUCCAGACUUUUCUGCAGAAGGUUCAAGAUCAAGCUAACAUAAGGAUUACACUAAGGACAAUGGGUUCGUUACUUCCUAUCAAGGCCAGCUCUUAUAACCAUGCAUAGCUCCUCAUAUCUCUUCUAUCAGUGUCUGCCACCUGGAAGAGUCAUGGCCAUUGCUUGACCAUGUUGAUUUCUGUGAAAACUUAGGAGAUUUUUCUGGUGACUCGUGACUCUCCUUAAGCACACCUUGCAUCAAAGGUCACUUUCCUUUUUGGUCUCAUCAUCUUUCUGAUCAGAAUACUAGGUACUUACUGGUUAUCUUCUGAUGAUGAAAGCAGGAUUUCUUUUACAUCCUGAGUCUCCUCCAAGCUUGAAGUGCUGUGGACAAAACAUUGGCUAUCCAUUUAGCCCAUUUGUGUCUCUCAUUUUUGGUCCUAAACCUUAGCUGUUGGACAUCCAGAAGAAAAGAUUGAUCACAAUACAAUACAUUAGAGGCAGUAAGCUUAACAUUACUGUUUUAUCUAAACAUGAAACACCUUAGAACAUUAAGUGAAAUGUAUUUUCUACUAUCCAUGGAUAUUUUAACAUUUGAAUACCUACAGUGUUAACAGUGACAUAUUUUACAUAGCAAAUCGAAAUCAGAACCGUACAUGUUAUUGUAUUAUGACAUCCUUGCAAUAAUCUGAAUUUCUCUUUUGACAUAAAAUAUCCAUUUUAGUCAAGCACCCUUAUCAAAUACCCAAGAAGUCUCUUAUGUAUCAUUGACCAAUUUAUUGACCUUUAGUGGAAUGUGAACCUCACAAGUCUUUGGGAUUAGGAGAGGUAUGAACAUGGAAAAAAAGUCUGCUCCCAUAAGCAAUCCCCAUUUUACAAUCUUGGAGGCCUAUGCCUUCAGAAAUAUGAAUAUAUCAAAUACAUCAUCAAUUUGACAACAAUAAACUGUCAUGGGCCCAUUUCAUAAUAAAAUAUAUCAUUUACUAAAAAGAGUACACCGAUGAGUAUUUGUUGUUCAUCAUUGGCAUUUGGUGGUGAUGGAGCAGUGCUUGCUGCAGCUCUCCACAGAAAAGUGACUAUUGCUGCAGUAAACAGGAAUAUGCAUGAAUCACAGCAAUGGGUCCUUAGAUCUUUGAGUAUGAGACCCACUAAAGGAAGCACUGCACUUAGUGGACUUACUAUGUUUAAUCAUUUGAAUACUUUGAACACUGACUUCAGUAGUGGUUGAAAUACUUGCUUACAUUUCCACCAACAAAGUUAAAUAGUUUCCUGAUGUCUCAUGAGUGUUCUUUUGAUCUUGUGGUGAUUUGUCUCUGCAAUGAGAUGGUGUACUGAUUUGCAUAUCUCUAUUGUGCAUAAAUGUUCAAUAGUUCUUCAGCUAUUUCUUGACAAUUUGUACCUGUUCUGAAAAGUGUGUAUUCAUUUCAAAUUUCUAUUGGAUUUACAUGUUAGCUGUCAAGGAGUAACAUGCAAUCUUCUCCUAUCCUGUAGAUUGUCUCUUCGUCUUUUUUUCUUUGACUUUUUGUUUGUUUGUUUGUUUUUUGGCUUCUUCAUUUGUGCACGAGUUUUAAAUUAUUAUAGAAUCAUUUAUCAUGCUUUAUUGCCCUAUCUUAUUUCCUAUAAAAAGCACCAGCAAUAGCAUUGUAAAAAAGUUUUGAUAAUGCCUCCACUUUCAGAACCUAGAAUGCCUGGCUCAUUCACGUUUCACUAUGUUUUACUCAAAUACGGGCAUAUUUAAGACUGCUGCACAAAUUACCCUGAAAUGCACAUUUCCUGGUCCAAAAAAAAUGAAAUCAUAAUUUUCAUGAUUCAGCUAUCCUAUUUACAUUUAUAUUCUUGACCUAAACUUACCUGUUUCCUUAAACUUCAAAUGCAGGUAUAAAAACACCUACCACACAUUCUGCUAAAUCACCUAGCAAAAUUGCUUCACAAAGUCAGCUUCAAAGCUGUGAUUGUUCCAUCUCAUCCUCUGCUGAUGCUGUGAUUAAAAGAAUCACACUUAGCCUAAGGCUUUAUACAUAAGUCCUUACCAGAGCAAUUAUUUAAAUAAAAGACCUAAGAGAUCGCUUGCUGUGGCCCACUUGCUUGGACAGUUCAUAUAGCUCACCUCUUCAUCAGUGAUUCAGUCUUGCUCUACUGCUCUCCUUCUGAAUCAAGAAUAAACAGGGAAAGGAACCCCUCCCUGCAAGAGUGGAUCCCAAAUGAUGGACUGUAGUGCAGACUUCUGGAGCUGAAUGUCUUCUACAGUGCGGAUAUCCACCGAGGAGUGCUUGUACCAAAGAGAUUUACCUCAGGCUUUUUAUUUCUAAUUUCAUUUGAUUUCAAGGAUAAAAAUAAACUAAAACUAAAUUUCAAAACAUGUUAAUCAGGGGACAGCAAUGGUAAAUACUUUGUACACUGUAAUCCCCAGAUCAUUCAGCCAGAGCACAAGACAUUUGUAUUCAAUUCUCCAAACAAUACUGUAAUGGGCAGCUGAGUUAGUCAAAUAAUGUUGGCAGUGAGACAGGGCUAGGUUCUCCAAGGAUCCCAUGCAGAAGCCCAGAUACCUUGAACUAUAGGGAAGGCAGACACUUCCUGCUAAGUGUCAGACUUCAGGACAAAGGAUUAAGCAAAUGUAUUCACAUUGUAAGGAUUGAUAUUUGAAAUGGUUCUCUAGCACUCUGAGGAAGUCAGCAGUUACCAUUCAACUAAAGCCUGAUAUUCCAAAUAAUUCCUAUCAUCCUGGUGAAGUCGAGUCACCUUCUGAAACCCUUAAUUGAAGAGUCACUACUGCAUAAAAAUGCCUACUUUCUGUGUGACAGGCUUCCCCAUUUGAUCCCAAUUUAAACACUUUUACCUGAACUAUUAAUUUUAUUGGCUCCCAUAUUUCUGUCCCAUCUUAUGUUUAUCAGCCUUGUGAGCUCCCAGUAUUCCCACCUUAAAUCCAUCCCACAAAAUGAUUUUACUCUAUAGAAGUCCCUAGAAAAGUCAGUCUUUGGCAACCCACUCAGGACCCCUUCUCUCUCUCAGACAGCUUUCUUUCUCCCAAUAAAUAUAUUCUACUCUUAAA